UAGGUCAGUGUUUUGUAACCAGAAUAGAGGAGGUCUCAUGGAAAUUUGAAUGGAGAAAAAUGGAGAGAGAACUCAAUCACAUGGAGUGCAGUAGGAGCCAUGUACCAAACUGAAAAGGCUGUAGUCACAUCAGUUAAAUGAAUAGAUCUUGUACACAAUUCAAUGUAUAUACCUGUGAAACCACUAUCCCAAUGAAGAAAAAGAAAAUUUUUGUCAUUCCAGAGAGUUCACUCAGGCCCUCUUCCAGUCAAUCGCCACACUCCUAGACAAUAGCUGAAGAAUGUGAGAAAGAAAAAUCAAAAGCACACAAAUGAGACUGUGCAGUGAAGAGGCCACAGAGACAACCAUACUGUCUUUUUGUAUCACAAUAAGCAAAAAACAGCGUCUCAGUAUGUUGCUCAGGCUGUUCUUGAACUCCUGGGCUCAAAUCAUCUCCCACCUCAGCCUCCCAAACUGCUGGGUUUACAGGCAUGACCAACUGCACCCAGGUACUCCACAAGUUAAGAAGAGGUUAUGUCACAGUAAAUCCAUCAAUACCAAGGAAAGAGGUUUAUUGAGCACGUGGUUCUCUAGGCUGGGAAGUUCAAGACUGGACAGCUGCAUCUGGAAGCUUCUGGUAAAGGCUUUGUACAGUAUGAAAAUAUAGAGAAACAGAAGGGGAAGCAGGUGUUGUUAAGAGACCAGACAUGAGAGACAGCCUCAUUUUAUAACAGCCAGGGUAACUAAAUCAGUCUGAGGAGAGCAAGAAUUUACUCUUGGAAAAAAGACAUUAACUUCUCUUAACGAUCUAAUCUUAAGGCACAAUGUCUCAACAAUGUCUCACUUGGGAACAAGCAUCAACGUGAGUUUUGAUGGGAACAAACCAUCUUCAAAUUAUAGCAGUUUACUUUUCACUCUAUUAAUUGUGUUCUUUGAUGAAUGAAAGUUUUUGAUUUUGAUCAAGGCCAAUUUAUCUAUUUCUUCUUUUUUGUUAUCUGUACUUUUUAUGUCAUACCUGUAAAAUCAUUGCCAAACUCAAUGCCAUGAAUUCUUUUAUCCAUAUUUUCUCCUAAGAGUUUUAUAUUUUAGCUCUUAUGUUUAAGUCUUUGAUACAUUUUGAGUUAAAUUUUGUACAUGGUGUAAUAUAAAUAUCCAACUUUUGCAUGUAGAUAUAUUUUCCCAAGCAAAAUUGUUGAAAAGACUGUUCUUUUCCCAUCGAAUAAUUUUGGCACACCUGUAAAAAAUAACUGGAUUAUGAAUUCAGGGGUUGAUUUCUGGACUGCCUAUUACUGCCAAUUAGUAUUUAUGCCUGUACCACACUGUUUUGAUUACUGUAGCUUUGUAAUAACUUCUGAAAUUAAGGAGCAUAAGACCUACAAGUGUGUUUUUUCUCAAGAUUGUUUUGGCUAUUCAGGUCCCUUGAGAUUCCAUGUAAACUUUAGGAUGUAUUUUUCUAUUUCUGCAAAAAACAUCAUUGAAAUUUUUAUAGGGAUUUUCACUAAAUCUAUGGAUCAUUUUAUGUAGUAUUGACAUUUUAACAUUAUUCUAAUCAGUGAAAAUGGAUUUCCAUUUAUUUAUGUCUUCUUUAAUUUCUGUCAGCUUCAUUUUAUAGUUUUUAGUGUACAUGUCUUUAGCCUGCUUGGUUACAUUUAUUUCUAAGUAAAUGAAAUUGUUUUUUAUAUUUCCUUUUCAGAUUGUUCAUUAUUAGUGAACAAUGAUAUGCAGCUAAAUUUCAUGUGUUGAUUUUGUAUUCUGCAACAUUGCUGAAUUUAAAUUAGAACUGAGCCCUAUUAGUUUUUUGCCACAUUUUUAGGAUUUUCUGUGUGUAAGAUCAUGUCUUUUAAAAGAAAUAAUUUUAGUUUUAUUUUUCCAAUUUCAAUGUAUUUCAUUUAUUUAUUUGUUGCCUAAUUUCCCUGGUGAGGAGUCUAUUAAAUAGAGGGAUGAAAGUGGGUAUCCUUACAUUGUUUGAUUCUAAGUUUCUUUUUAAAUUAUAAACACAGAAAUAAAAAUGCUGAACAUAUUUGUUUGAUUGAUGCAAUUGAAUUUUAUGUUCUAAAGGUAUGUAUUUUAUGUUUAUGUCAAUUUGCAAAAUAAUUAUAAUUGUCUUUAUUGUGGGAAUUUGGGAUCAGUUACUCAAUCAAAUGAUUGCUCAGUUCUCUAUUUUACUUCUCUCAGUAGCAAAGGUAUAACAGAAGGAGCUUGUGGAAUGCUCAUUAAGUUACAAACAGACUGGUAAUUUAACAAUGGACUGCCAAUAGAACAAUAAAGCCUGUGUAGCUUUAUUGUCUUGAUACAGCGCAUAAUUUUUGACAGAAGCAAUAGAUUUUUUUCAUUUUUCUAAAAAACUUGUUCUCAAGAUAAUAUUUGUGUAGCUCUGCAGGAAUAGACAUCAUCUGCUGAGAGGCAUUCAUAAAAAUAAAUAAUGGGGGAAUUCCCCUCCAGCCCCUAUACACACUUUCUUUGAAAAGCAGUGACCAUCACUGCAUUUGGCUUUUUUAAUUGGCACUGAUUUCCUUUUUUGGCAAAUGAAACUCAAUUUUUCAUACAAGCCAGCCUUCACUGUCUAAUCCUAAAUAUAGGGGCAGCUUUAUCACUUACAUUUGGCAUGGAAGGCUAUACAAAUCUAUUUGGCUUAUUUAAUUCACUGAAAGAGGUAAUUUUCUAAAUAACUUCUAUUGGCCUAAAGGAGGUAAGGUGCUGCCAGGUGGGUAGUUUAUUCUCAUUGGCACAAUCAUAUCAGGACAUGAACGGGAUCCUCACUCUGGGUUUCUAGACACACAAACAAGCAGAACAUGCAACUAAGCAAAGGGAUUUGUACUCUUUCUGUAUUGGUAAGAUUCUCUUAACCUUUGCUGUAUGGAUAUAUAUAUAUAUAUCCCUUGAACAACACAGGUUUGAACUACAAGGGUCCACUUAUACACAGAUUAUUUUUAAUCAAUAUGUUUAUUUAUUAAGGUAGAUAUGUAGCAAAUGCAUAAAAUACACAUAGAUACUAGUCUAUUUACAUGCUAAUCAAUCAUUUAUGUUAUCAGUAAGGCUUCCAGUCAAUAGUAGGCUAUAGUAGUUAAGUUUGAGGAGUCAAAAGUUAUGCAUAAAUUGUCAAUUGCAUGAGAAUUGGCACCCCAACCCCAACAUUGUCCAAUGGUCAAAUGUAUAUAAAUAUAUAUAAAUGUAUACUGUAUAUAAAAUAAUAUUUCUGUUAUAUUAAUGAUUAGGAUUUUUAAAUGUUUGUAUUUUGAAAUAUAACACAUAUAUAUAAUGCAUAAAAUGAAUCUAUAAUGCAACAAAUUAUCACAGAAAUCAAGCAUGUAAUGCUCAUCCAAAAAAAGAAAUAGACCACAAGAAAUAGUUCUUUCUGUGCAAUCUUCACUCCAACCAUCUCCUUCCUCAUGAAAGGUAACCACUACUCUGACAUCUGAUUCUAAAGUUCAAAUUUGCCAUAGAAAUCCUUAAAUAAAUUGAAUAAUAUGUAUUCUU
rnacentral:lncRNA from 10 species